AACGCGAAGAACCUUACCUGGCCUUGACAUGCAAGUAGUAGAAGGAUGAAAGUCCGACGAGGUAGCAAUACCAGCUUGCACAGGUGCUGCAUGGCUGUCGUCAGCUCGUGUCGUGAGAUGUUGGGUUAAGUCCCGCAACGAGCGCAACCCUUAUUACCAGUUGCCAUCAUUCAGUUGGGCACUCAGGUGAGACCGCCUCGGAUAACGGGGGAGGAAGGCGGGGAUGACGUCAAGUCCUCAUGGCCUUUAUGUCCAGGGCUACACACGUGCUACAAUGGCCGGUACAAACCGUCGCAAACCCGUGAGGGGGAGCUAAUCGGAAAAAGCCGGCCUCAGUUCGGAUUGGAGUCUGCAACUCGACUCCAUGAAGCUGGAAUCGCUAGUAAUCGCGGAUCAGAACGCCGCGGUGAAUACGUUCCCGGGCCUUGUACACACCGAUAGC
rnacentral:rRNA from 1 species